ACGGAAGGCAGCAGUGGGGAAUAUUGCGCAAUGGGGGGAACCCUGACGCAGCAACGCCGCGUGAGUGAGGAAGUAUUUCGGUAUGUAAAGCUCUAUCAACGGGGACGAUAAUGACGGUACCCGAGUAAGAAGUCCCGGCUAACUACGUGCCGGCAGCCGCGGUAAUACGUAGGGGACAAGCGUUAUCCGGAUUUACUGGGUGUAAAGGGUGCGUAGGCGGCAAAGCAAGUCAGAAGUGAAAGCCCGCGGCUCAACUGCGGGACUGCUUUUGAAACUGUUGAGCUAGAGUACUGGAGGGGUAAGCGGAAUUCCUAGUGUAGCGGUGAAAUGCGUAGAUAUCAGGAAGAACACCGGAGGCGAAGGCGGCUUGCUGGACAGAGACUGACGCUGAGGCACGAAGGCGUGGGGAGCAAACAGGAUUAGAUACCCUGGUA
rnacentral:rRNA from 1 species